UUAUAAGCAAAUUUUGACUUGUAGGUUCAUUCAAUUAAUGAUGUAUGUGGUCUAUAAUGUAGACCAUAUACAUCAUUAAUUGAAUGAACUUAAAAGUCAAAAUUUGCUUAUAU
rfam:Medicago truncatula strain A17 chromosome 4, whole genome shotgun sequence.